rnacentral:rRNA from 1 species
GGUUAAGUCCGCACGAGCGCAACCCACGUUAGUUGCUAACGCGUGAAGGCGAGCACUCUAGACGAACUGCCGUUGACAAAACGGAGGAAGGUGGGGAUGACGUCAAAUCAUCAUGCCCCUUAUGUUCUGGGCUACACACGUGCUACAAUGGCCGGUACAGACGGACGCAAAGCCGCGAGGUGGAGCAAAUCCUAAAAAGCCGGUCUCAGUUCGGGUUGCAGGCUGCAAUUCGCCUGCAUGAAGUCGGAAUCGCUAGUAAUCGCAGGUCAGCAUACUGCGGUGAAUACGUUCCCGGGCCUU